ensembl:antisense_RNA C14C10.9 ncRNA
AUCCGUCCAAUCAAUAUGACCGGGACAUUCUACUGAAAGUCUGGCAAACAUUUUGAUGGCUUGCGUUUCAAAAAGUGAAUUAUUUGAAAUUUCCUCAUACCAGUACCAUGCUUCGUCGAACCAAAUGCCACAUCCUAACGAAGGCACGAUUCAUCCCAAAUACACAUGUACGGACGAACUUCAUCAAGAACCUCCUGGACUGAUUCGUCGGAAAAAUAUGGUCGUGCAUAGA